CUACGGGCGGCAGUGGGGAAUAUUGGACAAUGGGCGAAAGCCUGAUCCAGCCAUGCCGCGUGUGUGAAGAAGGCCUUCGGGUUGUAAAGCACUUUCAGUGGGGAAGAAAGCCUUGGGGCUAAUACCCUCGAGGAAGGACAUCACCCACAGAAGAAGCACCGGCUAACUCCGUGCCAGCAGCCGCGGUAAUACGGAGGGUGCGAGCGUUAAUCGGAAUUACUGGGCGUAAAGCGCGCGUAGGCGGUCUGAUAAGCCGGUUGUGAAAGCCCCGGGCUCAACCUGGGAGCGGCAUCCGGAACUGUCAGGCUAGAGUGCAGGAGAGGAAGGUAGAAUUCCCGGUGUAGCGGUGAAAUGCGUAGAGAUCGGGAGGAAUACCAGUGGCGAAGGCGGCCUUCUGGACUGACACUGACGCUGAGGUGCGAAAGCGUGGGUAGCAAACAGGAUUAGAUACCCGAGUAGUC
rnacentral:rRNA from 1 species